CUUGACGACCAUAGAGCAUUGGAACCACCUGAUCCCAUCCCGAACUCAGCAGUGAAACGAUGCAUCGCCGAUGCCGAGUGUUGGGGCAAGA
rnacentral:rRNA from 1 species